ACGGGUGAGUAACGCGUGGGAACGUACCCUUUACUACGGAAUAACUCAGGGAAACUUGUGCUAAUACCGUAUGUGCCCUUCGGGGGAAAGAUUUAUCGGUAAAGGAUCGGCCCGCGUUGGAUUAGCUAGUUGGUGGGGUAAAGGCCUACCAAGGCGACGAUCCAUAGCUGGUCUGAGAGGAUGAUCAGCCACAUUGGGACUGAGACACGGCCCAAACUCCUACGGGAGGCAGCAGUGGGGAAUAUUGGACAAUGGGCGCAAGCCUGAUCCAGCCAUGCCGCGUGAGUGAUGAAGGCCCUAGGGUUGUAAAGCUCUUUCACCGGUGAAGAUAAUGACGGUAACCGGAGAAGAAGCCCCGGCUAACUUCGUGCCAGCAGCCGCGGUAAUACGAAGGGGGCUAGCGUUGUUCGGAAUUACUGGGCGUAAAGCGCACGUAGGCGGGUAUUUAAGUCAGGGGUGAAAUCCCGGAGCUCAACUCCGGAACUGCCUUUGAUACUGGGUACCUAGAGUAUGGAAGAGGUAAGUGGAAUUCCGAGUGUAGAGGUGAAAUUCGUAGA
rnacentral:rRNA from 1 species